CCUACGGGAGGCAGCAGUGAGGAAUAUUGGUCAAUGGACGAGAGUCUGAACCAGCCAAGUAGCGUGAAGGAUGACUGCCCUAUGGGUUGUAAACUUCUUUUAUAUGGGAAUAAAACAGGGUAUGCAUACCCUCUUGUAUGUACCAUAUGAAUAAGGAUCGGCUAACUCCGUGCCAGCAGCCGCGGUAAUACGGAGGAUCCGAGCGUUAGCCGGAUUUAUUGGGUUUAAAGGGAGCGUAGGUGGAUUGUUAAGUCAGUUGUGAAAGUUUGCGGCUCAACCGUAAAAUUGCAGUUGAAACUGGCAGUGUUGAGUACAGUAGAGGUGGGCGGAAUUCGUGGUGUAGCGGGGAAAUGCUUAGAUAUCACGAAGAACUCCGAUUGCGAAGGCAGCUCAAUGGACUGCAACUGACACUGAUGCUCGAAAGUGUGGGUAUCAAACAGGAUUAGAUACCCCAGUAGUC
rnacentral:rRNA from 1 species